rnacentral:rRNA from 1 species
ACGUACACUCCUACGGGAGGCAGCAGUGGGGAAUCUUGCGCAAUGGGCGAAAGCCUGACGCAGCCAUGCCGCGUGAAUGAUGAAGGUCUUAGGAUUGUAAAAUUCUUUCACCGGGGACGAUAAUGACGGUACCCGGAGAAGAAGCCCCGGCUAACUUCGUGCCAGCAGCCGCGGUAAUACGAAGGGGGCUAGCGUUGCUCGGAAUUACUGGGCGUAAAGGGAGCGUAGGCGGACAUUUAAGUCAGGGGUGAAAUCCCGGGGCUCAACCUCGGAAUUGCCUUUGAUACUGGGUGUCUUGAGUAUGAGAGAGGUGUGUGGAACUCCGAGUGUAGAGGUGAAAUUCGUAGAUAUUCGGAAGAACACCAGUGGCGAAGGCGACACACUGGCUCAUUACUGACGCUGAGGCUCGAAAGCGUGGGGAGCAAACAGGAUUAGAUAACCUUGUAGUCCCAUG